UAUGAAGAUAUCAAAGGCCAUUCUCCCGAUGGACAGCAACAAGAAGCUGAUACUCGACAUGGUCUAGCAGCUGCUAAAGUUCCCGCUCUCGGCGGAGGAGCGUGACUGUUGGAUGAGCAUAGCGAGGAUAUUGAGUCACUUGCCCGCACCGAUCGCUUCCUUUACGAAAUAUCAAAGAUUCCCCACUACGAGCAAAGGCUGAAGAGUUCACUACUGGAACUGCUUUAUGCCGACAUCAGCACU